AGAAUCAACGCUGGCGGCGUGCCUAACACAUGCAAGUCGAACGAGAAAGUGGAGCAAUCCAUGAGUAAAGUGGCGCACGGGUGAGUAACACGUGACUAACCUACCCUUGAGUGGGGGGAUAACCUAGGGAAACCUGGGCUAAUACCGCAUAAUACCUUCGGGUCAAAGGAGCAAUUCGCUUAAGGAGGGGGUCGCGGCCGAUUAGUUAGUUGGCGGGGUAAUGGCCCACCAAGACUGUGAUCGGUAUCC
rnacentral:rRNA from 1 species